GGGGGGGGGGGGGGGGGGGGGGGGGGGGGGGGGGGGGGGGGGGGGGGGGGGGGGGGGGGGGGGGGGGGGGGGGGGGGGGGGGGGGGGGGGGGAGGGGCGCGGCCGGCGCGCGUGCUCCGGGGCGUGGGCGCGGUACGUGCGCUCGGUUCUCAUUGGCGCCGCACCCGGAAGAGCCGCUGGCGCCUGCGCGGUGGGGCCGGCGCGCUGCCCCUUCCCCGAGGAGAUGGAGGCGGCGGCGCGGCGGCCGCGGGAGCAGGAGCGGCAGGGGGGGGGGGGGGGGGAGCGGCAGGAGCGGGGGCAGGGGCAGGACGAUGGUGGGCAGGUGCUGUCACCAUCCCUGUCGGGACAGUCCUACUGGCUGGACCUGUGGCUCUUCAUCCUCUUCGACCUGGCGCUUUUCUUGCUUAUCUACCUGCUGCCCUGAGGGCGCGGCCCAGGGCCAUUGCCACCGAGGGAAUUCUCGCCUAUUUCGCACCUUAUGAACACAGGCGGUGGAAGAGGAGGACCAUUUGUGCGGGAUAAGCAACUGGGAACACGGCUCCACUUGCGUCUCGAUGGAGGAGGCACAUUUUUGUACUGUACCGCGGUAGACCUCUGCGUGUCACGGGUGUUACUGUUCAGGUUUUACCUGUGUCCCCUUCGUGUGUCCUGAACUGUGCCUUAGGGGUCUCGUACGACAGACAGACCGUGCUUUUGUGAUUAGUACUUAAAGGUUUGUUGGGCAGAGGUGGAAGUGUGUGUGUUUGAAUAAAAUCCACUGAAAGGACACCCUGCAGAGUGGCUGAGAAUAAAACACUCUUGUGUACGCCGAAGUUGUAACUCAGAGCUGUUCCCUCGAGGUGAAGCUUAGCCAGCUGUUCUACUUCCAAAAAGUUAAUCCUGGUGGGUUGAUGCUGGUUGCUUUGCUAUUAUACCUUUCUCUGUUUUAUUCUUUCUUUACCUUUAGCAGUUGCUGAGCCCUCUCAGGCUCGGUAUUUACAGAUGUGAAUAUACAUGUGUAUAAACAUGUCAGUAUCUUAACCCAACAGCAGUGUCCUGUCCUCACUUAGUGAUUAGUACAUGUAUACAUGUAUAAACAUGUCAGUAUCUUAACCCAACAGAUACAUGUGUAUAAACAUGUCAGUAUCUUAACCCAACAGCAGUGUCCUGUCCUCACUUAGUGAUUAAGAUAAGUCAGGUUUUGAUUUCCUUGCUAGAAACUGUGGAGGAGGAGCUUACAAGAGCAGCCUUGAGUCACUGGCAGAUGACACACAAAGAUCCCUCCUUCUCACCUCCCAUGGAUGGCUAUAAGCAGACAGUGACAGGUAAUUAAAAGGUUUCAACAUCAAUUUCCUCUGUCUCACCAGAGGGAGACUUUCAAACCUGUGUUAAAGGCAGGAGUCUCUUGCAGUCUAUGGAGAAACAAACAGAAGCUGUGCUUUUAUCCAGGACAGGCUUGGGGGAAGACAACUUGCAAGCUAUGGAUGAAGGGGGUUUUGUUUUCUUUAGCAUUUUUCCCUUGGAAAUACUAAUUUCUAAUUCUGAGAAGUACAAUCUAUGGUUGAUUGAGGUUUUCUCCCAGGAGUACAUACAACAAAAUGCUAGAUUGCAGAGACUUGAAAGUGCAGAGUGGCAAUUUGGGAUGCAAAAAUAGAUGCCCUUUCCUUUUAUUUCUUUUUGAUUGUUAAGACAGUUUUGCUCUUGGCAGUGGUUUGUUUCUUGUGUCAGACCUGUGCUGUAAGAACAGAGAUGCUGUGCCCUGGUGGCAUUUAUCAUCUUGGCUGCUGGUACCUGUGAGAUCAGUGUUUUCAGAGAUCUUGACUCAAGGUGCACAGGAGCCCUGAACAGUGACUGCAUUCUCACAAACACGAGAAUGGGGGUUCCCAUUUUUCAAAUGAGGCCAUUCAAGAGUUCACUACAUUCACUACCUUUUUUUACCCACUCCCUCUGACAUGAUAUCACAAGUGAAAGCCCCCAGUGAACAACCUAUCCAGAGAGGACUGAAAUGAUACUCCAUUUCUUUUUUCAUAAGGAAAACAGGUGAAAUUUGAAGGCUAUUAAGGAUUAGAAAGUUGAAUUUCAAGGUACCCUCCACUAAUUUAUUUUUCUCUUUCAGGCAGAUCUGGCAUUAAAGGUUUUACUUACCUCAGAAAACUUGAGAGCUAACAAAGUGCAGGCUUGGUCUGCACUGCGAUUCCAUGGGCAGAUGGAGCUCCUAAGUACACCUUGGUCUGCACUGCUAUUCCAUGGGCAGAUGGAGCUCCUAAGUACACAAAUCCAGGCAAAUUCAAAUCCGGGCAAAUUUUGCUUACCCCUAGUAAAGAUAGUAAGGUAGCUCAUGUAUCUGUCAGUCACUUGUCACCAAGUCUGGUAUAAAAAUGGCUUUAUGCAUUUCAUAGCUAUUGAAAAAGUUUAAUCUAUUUAAUAGCUUAACGAACAAAUACUUCAGAAGAUGAAUUUUACUGCUCAGAAAAGGUAUCCAAACCACCAUCUCCACAAAAACUUUCAACCAUCAGUAGCAGCAUUAUCUGUCACGUUAAAAAUGUAGUUCUGGAAAGCCAACUCGUUUGUUUGGUAUUUUUAAAACGUGGAACACAAAAAGAACAGACAACAAAAGUUUUAAAUUUUUAUCUUGAUAUUUUGAACAAGUAGAACUUUGCAAGUAAAUAAUUCUAAAGACUGAAAAAUAUAUUAAUUACAAGACUUGUUAAUAUCUUUACUGUUACAAAAAUGGUCUAGGCUCUUAUACAAAUCUAUAGCUGGGGGGACAUUUAUAAAAAAAUAAAUAGGCACCCUAGGUAAGUUAAAACAAGUUAUCACAUAUUAGUUAGCAAAUAUUACAUACAUACAUACAUGGAGUGCAGAGUCAAAUAUAAAAACGAAGGUGCCUUGAUUAGCUGUCUAUGUAAUCAUGAAAUACCUGGUAAACAUGGGUCACAGAAGAAGCUGGCUGGUAAGAUUGUUCCAAGCUAAGCAAGGAGACUGAAGUACACCUAAGUCACUGCAGCUACUUUAGAGAGGAGUUGACCAGUUGUGCUUACUGGGAGCAGAGCUCAUUGGUAUCAGUAAGAGGCAUUUAUAUUGCUCGUGGUACAGAAGUAUCAACAUUGCUAUGCAUGUUUAAAAAUAAGUGUUCUAACGUCAUUCACAGUUGUUGCUGUGCUAUCCAUACAUAAAAAUACUGUCAUUUCAAAUACAGGGGUUUUUUUGUUGUUUGCAAAACAUUUUACAAAUUAUACAUUAUUUACACAUUCCAAUAAUCUUGGUUUUUACACAGGUAUUAGAGGACAGUUGUACUUAACUGGUUAUAUAUAUAUCAUGUAACAUGGCUAGAUGAACUAGAAAAGUUUAAUUUACAGGUUCUGAAAUCUCUCUUAAAAAUAUUACAAUAGGAAUCACCCAAGUUCUUACAUUUUUAGUGUUCUUCUGGGGACAGUUGUACUUAACUGGUUAUAUAUAUCAUGUAACAUGGCUAGAUGAACUAGAAAAGUUUAAUUUACAGGUUCUGAAAUCUCUCUUAAAAAUAUUACAAUAGGAAUCACCCAAGUUCUUACAUUUUUAGUGUUCUUCUGUAUUCAACUGAUUUUCUUACAAAAGGAUCAUUGUUUAAGUUGCUGUUUACUAGCAGCCAUACAGAAACAUGCAUAGUAUUUCACUAUAAAUUCUAGAAUUCUUUUUUUUUCCCCAAGUGCUACAAUGAAUUUUGAUCAAGGUAGAAAGAAGGUUAAUCUGAGAUACCUGGUUUGUUGCAUAUAUAUAAUGUUCCAGUUCUACUGUAAGGUACAUGUUAUUUAAGAAAAAAAAACCUGACCUUGCCACAAAAUAACCAAAACUACUGUUUAAAUGUUUACCUUGGAUAAUUGUGCUAAACAGUUGCCAUCAUUUGGUUGAAGCACUAAAACACAUGUACAUAAGGUUAUAAAAAUGAAAAAAAGCCUUUCUGACCAACAGUGCAAGUAAGAGUGUUUAUUAUGCAUAUUUAACCUUCUUGCAUUAUUUUCAUAAGAAAAGGCAUUAUGUUUAGAUGUAAUCAGCAGCACCCCAAGUUAACACUCUAAUGUGAAUAAUGGAAAAACUUUGCCUUUUUGGGUUGUGCCAGGCUUCACUGCCUCAGCACUCACUAGAUGGUUCUGUGCACUGAUUUAACCAACCAAAUAAAAGCCAACUAAAUCUUCCUCCUUGUUACUGAGAUAACUCAGGUUAACAAAAGACAAGGUAAAUUCCGGAGCUGCCAAAACUGGAGACAGAAUGACAGAGCAGAGAAAGAGGAACCUCUUCUUUCCAUGCCCCCUUAGCCACCAGUCUGGCAUCACAUUCAGCCUGACCUGCUAAUGCAGACAAUAUCCAUGUGUAGGACUGUUUCAAAUGGGAAAAUAUGUUAGUAAACAAAAAAAAAAAAAAAAAGUCGAGUGUAUGAUCCCCAUGAACCAAAAUGUCAAGCUGGAAAAAAAAGGGGAGUUUAAUAAAUAGCAGCAUUGACUUUGCAUGCAAUUGUAGAAUAAGUCAGAACUGAAUGUAAGUAGGAAUUACUUCUAAAAUAUUACAAAAUUAAUAUUUCAUAGUUGCAUAACUCUGUAUUUAAAAUUAGCAUCCUAUUCUGUUAUACUGGUUUGUAACUUAGGAAGUUAAAUUGAAUAAGUUAAAGUAUACAGCUUAUAGGGUGAACAAAUCUGGUAGAUGUGUUUAAAAACGUACACUAACAGAGCAGAGGUAUUAAUAGGAAAGUAUUACUGCAGUUUACUUCAAUUCCCUUUGGAAGUCUCGUUUAACACUUGCAAACCAAAAAUGGUUUUUAAAGAAAUAUUAUUAUUAUUAUUAAGGCUUUUCAAAUAAAAAAUAAAUCCUCUGGAUAAACUUGCAUUAAAGACACUUGAAGGUUUGUGAAAGCACAGACUCUGAGAGACAUCAGUUGAAAAAACCGUGUCACCACUUGCUACCUCUGAGAACAAAUACUGCUCUGUUAUGCCUACACGGACUGCAUCAGUUGUGGUAGCACGCUUUUCCCUUUUGUUAGUCUAAGAAUGUAGUGACUACAGUCUGAAGGAACACUUCUUGCACUGCAGCUAACCAGAUCUUCUUACAGAAUCUGUAGCAUCCAGCCGAUCCCGCCGCUGCAAGGCGUGCACGCCCCAAGGACCACAUGGAAUACAAACUGAAGAAGACAAGCUGAGUAACAGAGGUAAGCAUUAAGGCAACUAGAGUAACAAAGCAAAGAACCACAAGUUUAGCACCUCUUCUCCUCUGUUCGCCUCUUUGCAUAUUCGUUUGAACAGUCACAGCUCCCAAGCAAAGUACAGUCAGCUGGGUACCUGAUUAUCACACACAGAGGUUGUGCCCCUAUACAGAUCACAUGAAAUGCCAAAGUGGGAUCCAG
ensembl:lncRNA